CACGUAGAUGGCUUUGUAAGUCGGAUGUGAAAUCCCCGGGCUCAACCUGGGAACUGCAUUCGAAACUGCAUUGCUCGAAUGUGGAAGAGGGAAGCGGAAUUCCAGGUGUAGCGGUGAAAUGCGUAGAUAUCUGGAGGAACAUCAGUGGCGAAGGCGGCUUCCUGGUCCAACAUUGACAUUCAGGUGCGAAAGCGUUGGGGAGCAAACAGGAUUAGAUACCCUGGUAGUCCACGCCAUAAACGAUGAGAACUAGAUGUCGGGAGGGUUAGCCUUCCGGUGUCGCAGCUAACGCGUUAAGUUCUCCGCCUGGGGAGUACGGCCGCAAGGUUGAA
rnacentral:rRNA from 1 species